UGGGGAAUAUUGCACAAUGGGCGCAAGCCUGAUGCAGCCAUGCCGCGUGUAUGAAGAAGGCCUUCGGGUUGUAAAGUACUUUCAGUCGCGAGGAAGGUGUCAAGGUUAAUAACCUUGGCAAUUGACGUUACCGACAGAAGAAGCACCGGCUAACUCCGUGCCAGCAGCCGCGGUAAUACGGAGGGUGCAAGCGUUAAUCGGAAUUACUGGGCGUAAAGCGCACGCAGGCGGUUGAUUGAGUCAGAUGUGAAAUCCCCGGGCUUAACCCGGGAAUUGCAUCUGAUACUGGUCAGCUAGAGUCUUGUAGAGGGGGGUAGAAUUCCAUGUGUAGCGGUGAAAUGCGUAGAGAUGUGGAGGAAUACCGGUGGCGAAGGCGGCCCCCUGGACAAAGACUGACGCUCAGGUGCGAAAGCGUGGGGAGCAAACAGG
rnacentral:rRNA from 1 species